rnacentral:rRNA from 1 species
CACCAGCGCCUCGAGUGGGGAUCGCGAUUAUUGGGUCUAAAGCGUCCGUAGCAGGCUUUGUAAAUGCUUUGUGAAAUCGGCAGGCUUAACCUGUCGGCGUGCAGAGUAGACUGCAGAACUUGAGACCGGGAGAGGUUAGCAGUAUUCCUUGGGUACCGGUAAAAUGGGUUAAUCCAAGGAGGACUACCAAUGGCGAAGGCAGCUAACCAGAACGGUUCUGACUGUGAGGGACGAAAGCUAGGGGAGCAAA